UACGUAGGGGGCAAGCGUUGUCCGGAAUCAUUGGGCGUAAAGCGCGUGUAGGCGGUCCGGUAAGUCGGUUGUGAAAGUCCAGGGCUCAACCCUGGGAUGCUGAUCGAUACUGCCGGACUAGAGUCCGGAAGAGGCGAGUGGAAUUCCCGGUGUAGCGGUGAAAUGCGUAGAUAUUGGGAGGAACACCAGUGGCGAAGGCGGCUCACUGGACCGGUACUGACGCUGAGGCGCGAAAGCCAGGGGAGCAAACGGG
rnacentral:rRNA from 1 species